GGGGAGGAGUCCAGCUCGGAGGACCCGGGCAAAUAUAGCGAAGCUAGCAGCAGCAGCAGCAGUGGCAGUGGCAGCAGCGACAGUGGUGGAAGUGAGCAGUAACAUGGCAGCAGUGAUGAGCGCUUGGGGGUGCACACACCAUGUCGGCCCCAGGCAGGAUGGGACAGACCAAUCCCAAUAGGUGCCAGUACAUGUCAUGCAUCGGGGGUUUCAUCCGUAGGAGUAGGCAUGAACUCUGCAAGUGGUGGUGAGACUCCUUGGCGAGCACUUGCUGUAUGGGGGGUGACAUGAACACUGUUUUCGAGGACGAUGGUUGAGAUGAAUGCAUCAGGCUGUCAGGCUGGCUGGUCGGCGUUGUGAGUCCAAAGCGCCUUGGUCCACAAGCACACUGAGACUUAGGCUACUUUGACAAGGGGUGUGCGUCCAUUUUGAGGCUUGCCGCAAGUAUUCACCAAUCGUUAAUUUAACAUGCAGUAAGCGUCACAUCACAGAGUAAUAUCUGCCUGUGUAACCCUGAUAACAGGGUCUCCACCCGUAAUUGUACAUGUAAUUGGUUACAUGUGCCCGUAAUUCACCUCCAGCACCGCGUAAAAUCCACCCGUAAUCACUGGGUCUCCACCCGUAAUUGUACGUGUAAUUGGUUACAUGUGCCCGUAAUUCACCUCCAGCACCGCGUAAAAUCCACCCGUAAUCACUGGGUCUUCACCCGUAAUUUCGCGUGUAAUUGGUUACAUGCGCCUGUAAUUCACCUCCAACACCGCGUAAAAUCCACCCGUAAUCACUGGGUCUUCACCCGUAAUUUCGCGUGUAAUUGGUUACAUGCGCCCGUAAUUCACCUCCAACACCGCGUAAAAUCCACCCGUAAUCACUGGGUCUUCACCCGUAAUUUCGCGUGUAAUUGGUUACAUGCGCCCGUAAUUCACCUCCAGCACCGCGUAAAAUCCACCCGUAAUCACUGGGUCUUCACCCGUAAUUUUGCGUGUAAUUGGUUACAUGCGCCCGUAAUUCACCUCCAGCACCGCGUAAAAUCCACCCGUAAUCACUGGGUCUUCACCCGUAAUUUUGCGUGUAAUUGGUUACAUGCGCCCGUAAUUAACCUCCAGCACCGCGUAAAAUCCACCCGUAAUCACUGGGUCUUCACCCGUAAAUGUUCACCUGUAUCCUUGUGCUCAAAUUACGGGACCCGUAACGUGUUACGGACCCGUAAUUUCUGUCAAAUUACGGGUGGAUUGACCCAAAAUUACGGGUAAAAUGACCCCCCUUUUCCCAGAGUGCGAGUGAACUGGUCCAUCCUGCACCACAAGCGCCAUUGUGGGUCUAACUCCUAUGCUUACGUAUCAUGCCUGUGCACUGAAGGCCUGCAUGUAACUCUGGCAAGCAUGCUACACCCUGACAUGAGCAU
rnacentral:lncRNA from 1 species